CGCUUUCAGCCGACCCACUUCUCCUCCCAUGGGACGUCUGUAAAAACAGCGGCACUCCUCCUCCCAGUCGCUGUUCGAUCUUCAGAAAGCCUGCCGCACCUCCUCCCGCGGCAGGCUUUUUUG
rnacentral:sRNA from 27 species